rnacentral:misc_RNA from 1 species
GGAAUAUUGCACAAUGGGCGCAAGCCUGAUGCAGCCAUGCCGCGUGUAUGAAGAAGGCCUUCGGGUUGUAAAGUACUUUCAGCGGGGAGGAAGGCGGUGAGGUUAAUAACCUCAUCGAUUGACGUUACCCGCAGAAGAAGCACCGGCUAACUCCGUGCCAGCAGCCGCGGUAAUACGUAUGUCACAAGCGUUAUCCGGAUUUAUUGGGCGUAAAGCGCGUCUAGGUGGUUAUGUAAGUCUGAUGUGAAAAUGCAGGGCUCAACUCUGUAUUGCGUUGGAAACUGCAUGACUAGAGUACUGGAGAGGUAAGCGGAACUACCAGUGUAGAGGUGAAAUUCGUAGAUAUUUGUAGGAAUGCCGAUGGGGAAGCCAGCUUACUGGACAGAUACUGACGCUAAAGCGCGAAAGCGUGGGUAGCAAACAGGA